CGUGAGUUAUUUGAACAGAGGUUUUGGAAGAUUUGGGGGACUCCAUCUAGAGGACUGCAGAAAGCACAUUCAGACGUGAUUGUCUCCCAGAAAAGAAACCGUGAAAAGGGCCUGGACCAGACUGGGCUGGACACACAUCAUGAAUACGCAAUAUCCUGAACUGGACUGAUCUUGGGCCAUUCUGUAUUUCUGUAGUUGUCCUGCCGUCCACACACAGCAAGACCAUGGCCUUGGUAAAUUCCACCAAAGGAAAGUUCCCAUUGCCAGUCAUCCUGGAAGAAAGAUUAUCCUGGGGCAGAAACUGAGGACUCAGGAUGUGGGCCUUUGGGAUGACAGAGAAGUUCUCUCCCUCUCUCUCUCUCCUGAUUUUAGUCUGCCCUACGAGUGAAGACAUGCUCCAUGCAGCUCUAGAAGUGGAGCUGAGCUGGGCCCUGCCAUGUGAAGCAAGCUGGGCCUGGAUAGGUCUAUAACAUGCUCCCUCAUCUCAGAGUGCAUGAGCAAGACCAAGGGCUCCAGCUGGAGGUUGUUGAUUGGAAAGAAAGGGAAGAAAUCCCAUUGUGCACUGUGACAUCGACCACUCUGUGCUGUGCAGAGAGUCCCAUUGAAGAAUAUUCUGGACCUGGAGGGACCACUAGAGUUUCUGCUACUGGAGGGCAGGGGCUCUGCCUUACAGGUGUGGAUGUUCGAGCCCAGAGAGGCCCUUAGCGACCGUCAAGUUCAGCCCAGAUAGGGAAAGGAGCUUGUGCAAGACCCCAUGGUCGGCAGGCCCUGAGCUGAUGGGACCCCGCUUCACACUGCUGCAUAUCUGCACCCAGCACAAGGCCUUGCACAUGGUUGGCUCUCAAAAAUUUGUGAUGAAUGCAUGGGUGAAGGCAUGAACAGACCAGCCAAACCCUGGGGACGGUUCUCCUGCCUCUCAGGCAAGGCCUUGACCUUGCCUUGCCUCUCAAAGAGCUGCUCUGACUGGGGAUUGAGGCCAAACCAAGGGCCAAGCGGGCAGCUAAGCCCCUCACCAGCUUCACCUCGGCAUCCUCAUCAUCUCACAUUGUCUGCCUUUGCGGAGAAGAUGCACAGAGGAAGUUGCCCAGUGAAUGGAUUUGUUGAAUGGGUGUGUGAAUAAGAUAUUCUGUCCUUCUGGCUAUCUCUCCACUUGGAGAGCGUGAAGGGAAGUUGUCUUCACCUGGAUCUCCCUAAAGCAGGAUUUGGUGGUAAUUAUUCGUUUAGGAGAUGAGCCACGGAAUUCAAGGUGAGAGAGAGGGUACGCGAGACAGGGAAGGCAGGUAGAUCAUUUAGUCCAAAUUGACAGUCUAUACCCUCCGUGUACUGACAGAAACACUCGUGGUGCCUAUUGAGGUUGUAUUUCCAGAUCAGACCGUGCUGGUUUGAGCAGAUGCCACACAAGCAAGAACUCCGGCUGAAUUUUCACACGUGGCUCCAGUAAUGCUACUGGUGAUCAUCUUGCUUUCAGGGGUGCAAGGAAGCAAAAGGGACAUGAAUUUUUAUAGAAGGGUCCCUGCAAGAACAAAAGCAAGGCGAGAUAUGGGGUCAUGCAAGGCGGUGAUUACCCUGCAGCAUGGAUCUCUCCUUUCAUGGGUCUAUUUAGUCCUCAGUUUUGCAGGUCUGGAAAUGCCCAGGCCCAUCUCACGUUAGCCACUCUCAGAGGACACUGAUGGGCAUCCAAAAUUAGCAAUUAAUUGACAUUAAAUGAAAGUGAUUCUUGGACCCACAAUUAUAUGGUCGACUAAUCUUCGACAAAGCAGGAAAAAACAUCCGAUGGAAGAAAGUCUCUUGGACAAAUGGUGUUGGGGAGACUGGACAGCAACAUGCAGAAGAAUGACACGGGCCCACUUUCUUACACCAUACACAAAAAUAAAUUCAAAACAGAUGAAAGACCUAACUGUGAGACAGGAAACUGCCAAAAUCCUAGAGAACACACACAGUAACCUCUUUGACCUUGGCCACAGCAACGUCUUACUGGACACAUCAGCAGAGACAAGGGAAGCAAAACCAAAAAUGAACUCUUGGAACCUCAUCAAGAUAAAAACUUCUGCACAGUGAAGGAAACAAUCAACAAAACUAAAAGGCAGCCUGUGGA